UACGGAGGGGGCUAGCGUUGUUCGGAAUUACUGGGCGUAAAGCGCACGUAGGCGGCUUUGUAAGUUAGAGGUGAAAGCCCGGAGCUCAACCCCGGAAUUGCCUUUAAGACUGCAUCGCUAGAAUUGUGGAGAGGUAAGUGGAAUUCCGAGUGUAGAGGUGAAAUUCGUAGAUAUUCGGAAGAACACCAGUGGCGAAGGCGACUUACUGGACACAUAUUGACGCUGAGGUGCGAAAGCGUGGGGAGCAAACAGG
rnacentral:rRNA from 1 species